rnacentral:rRNA from 1 species
UACAGAGGGUGCGAGCGUUGUUCGGAAUUAUUGGGCGUAAAGGGCGCGUAGGCGGUGCGGUAAGUCACCUGUGAAAUCUCCUGGCUCAACUGGGAGCUUGCAGGCGAAACUGCCGUGCUGGAGUGUGGGAGAGGUGCGUGGAAUUCCUGGUGUAGCGGUGAAAUGCGUAGAUAUCAGGAGGAACACCUGUGGCGAAAGCGGCGCACUGGACCACAACUGAGGCUGAGGCGCGAAAGCUAGGGGAGCAAACAGG